AUACGUAGGGUGCAAGCGUUAAUCGGAAUUACUGGGCGUAAAGCGUGCGCAGGCGGUUUUGUAAGACAGUGGUGAAAUCCCCGGGCUCAACCUGGGAACUGCCAUUGUGACUGCAAGGCUGGAGUGCGGCAGAGGGGGAUGGAAUUCCGCGUGUAGCGGUGAAAUGCGUAGAUAUGCGGAGGAACACCGAUGGCGAAGGCAAUCCCCUGGGCCUGCACUGACGCUCAUGCACGAAAGCGUGGGGAGCAAACAGGAUUAGAUACCCUGGUAGUCCACGCCCUAAACGAUGUCAACUGGUUGUUGGGGAUUUAUUUUCUCAGUAACGAAGCUAACGCGUGAAGUUGACCGCCUGGGGAGUACGGCCGCAAGGUUAAAACUCAAAUGAAUUGACGGGG
rnacentral:rRNA from 1 species